GUCCCCAUCGUCUAGAGGCCUAGGACACCAGGUUUUCAUCCUGGCGACACCGGUUCGAAUCCGGUUGGGGACG
rfam:Lentisphaerae bacterium GWF2_50_93 gwf2_scaffold_746, whole genome shotgun sequence.